rnacentral:rRNA from 1 species
UACGGAGGGUGCAAGCGUUGUCCGGAAUCAUUGGGCGUAAAGAGCGUGUAGGCGGCUCGGUAAGUCCGCUCUGAAAGCCCGGGGCUCAACCCCGGGAGGCGGGCGGAUACUGUCGGGCUAGAGUCCGGAAGAGGCGAGUGGAAUUCCUGGUGUAGCGGUGAAAUGCGCAGAUAUCAGGAGGAACACCAAUGGCGAAGGCAGCUCGCUGGGACGGUACUGACGCUGAGGAGCGAAAGCGUGGGGAGCGAACAGG